UAGGGAAUCUUCCGCAAUGGACGCAAGUCUGACGGAGCAACGCCGCGUGAGUGAAGAAGGAUUUCGGUUCGUAAAACUCUGUUGUUAGAGAAGAACAGCGCAUAGAGUAACUGUUAUGCGUGUGACGGUAUCUAACCAGAAAGCCACGGCUAACUACGUGCCAGCAGCCGCGGUAAUACGUAGGUGGCAAGCGUUGUCCGGAUUUAUUGGGCGUAAAGCGAGCGCAGGCGGUCAAUUAAGUCUGAUGUGAAAGCCCCCGGCUCAACCGGGGAGGGUCAUUGGAGACUGGUUGACUUGAGUGCAGAAGAGGAGAGUGGAAUUCCAUGUGUAGCGGUGAAAUGCGUAGAUAUAUGGAGGAACACCAGUGGCGAAGGCGACUCUCUGGUCUGUAAAUGCCGCUGAUGUUAGAAAGCGUGGGUAGCAAACAGG
rnacentral:rRNA from 1 species